rnacentral:rRNA from 1 species
UGUCAGCCGCCGCGGUAAUCCGAAGGGUGCUAGCGUUGUUCGGAAUUAUUGGGCGUAAAGCGUACGUAGGCGGUUUAGUAAGUCGAUUGUGAAAUACCCGAGCUCAACUUGGGAAUUGCAAUCGAAACUGCUUGGCUAGAGUUUAGUGGGGGAUAGUGGAAUUCCUAGUGUAGGGGUGAAAUCCGUAGAUAUUAGGAGGAACAUCAGUGGCGAAGGCGACUAUCUACGCUAAUACUGACGCUAAGGUACGAAAGCGUGGGGAGCAAACAGGAUUAGAUACCCUGGUAGUCCACGCAGUAAACGAUGAGUGCUAGUUGUCGGGGUCUUAGACUUCGGUGGCGAAGCUAACGCGUUAAGCACUCCGCCUGGGGACUACGGUCGCAAGACUAAAACUUAAAUGAAUUGACGG